rnacentral:rRNA from 1 species
GUGGGGAAUCUUGCGCAAUGGGCGAAAGCCUGACGCAGCCAUGCCGCGUGAAUGAUGAAGGUCUUAGGAUUGUAAAAUUCUUUCACCGGGGACGAUAAUGACGGUACCCGGAGAAGAAGCUCCGGCUAACUUCGUGCCAGCAGCCGCGGUAAUACGAAGGGGGCUAGCGUUGCUCGGAAUUACUGGGCGUAAAGGGCGCGUAGGCGGACAGCUUAGUCAGAGGUGAAAGCCCAGGGCUCAACCUUGGAAUUGCCUUUGAUACUGGCUGUCUUGAGUUUGGGAGAGGUGAGUGGAACUCCGAGUGUAGAGGUGAAAUUCGUAGAUAUUCGGAAGAACACCAGUGGCGAAGGCGACUCACUGGCCCAAUACUGACGCUGAGGCGCGAAAGCGUGGGGAGCAAACAGGAUUAGAUACCCCAUAGUCC